rnacentral:tRNA from 1 species
GGGCGAGUGGCGGAAUCGGUAGACGCAGUGGACUUAAAAUCCGCGAUCCGAAAGGAUGUGAGGGUUCGAGUCCCUCCUUGCCCA